GGAAGGAGCGUGGAAGGAAGAAAGAAAGGCAGGGCUUCGGGACGCGCAGCGCGGAGAAGUGGAGUUCGAAGUUCUCAAGUGGCUGGCUGCAGCCCCUCCGCGCUCAGCACGCCCGCAGACACGCUCCCAUGCCCACCUACGCCAGCUUCGGGGCAUCCCAGCCUCCGAUCCCAUCCUCCACCCCCUGAAAAAACAGCCCCCGGCUGGCGCGCGAAGGCCGGGCCGCUGUGCACCCCGAGAAGAGUGGCGCUCUCCCCCAGACUCCACUCGAGCCGCUGAAGCCAGAUGGAAGUAAUCAGAACCCAACAACAACAGAGAAAGAAGGAAGAAAGAAACUCCUCAUUGAAUUUUCUAGCCAAACUGUAUGUGGGGCUGUGUGUGAAAGAACUUGCUUAAGCAAACUCGGUGGGAAGACUGAGGCUUUAAAAAGUGAAGUAAUUUGUCUAAGGUCAGAGCACUCUGCCAUCCUCCCAGAGCUUCGGGUGGUUGUACUACCAGCUCAACUCCUGCUGGACUCCAGACACUCACAUAACCUUUCCUGGCUUAUUUUGGCAAGAAGAUGGCUGUCGAGAUGAAGACAAGAGUGUUUUUGGUUGGAGGAGAACUCUGUAGACACCGUGCCUGAAUUUCUAGAUGGUCAGAAGUUUGGGCACUGAAAAAAGCAGCAGAAGGUUUGGAGUGGAGGCAAACUGGUGUGGCCAGGGAAGCCUUCGACUGAGUGCUGGGACACCAGGUUCUAGUCCUAGAUCUAGUACUAAGUGUAUGACCUUUGACCAGUCUGGUUCACUCAAUCAGUACCAGGCACUGUGCUAAGUGGCUCGACACCACAGUGAGCAACACCUACAAGAUCUUUCCCCUUGGGGAGCUUAUGUUUCAUUAAUAACCACAAACAAACAUAUAAUCACAAACUGGGUAAAGGAAAAUCCAGCGUGCUGUGGGAGCCGGUAAUUGGAGACCUGAGCAAGCUAGGAGGUGAGCUUGGGGAGGGGAGUGGUACAGAGAAGGAGAAGGCUUUCCUGGGGGAAUGAGGUUGCACUGAUAAGAAGGAACGAGGAAUGAGGGAGGGUGGACUAGGAGAACGGGAAGUGGAGUGUACCAGUUCUUUCUUCUCCCUUUCUGCGAAAUGGACCUGAAUGACGAGAAAAACCAGGCCCACAAAGAAGCAGCUUCUUCAUUAUUUCCCAGUGUUCUAGUGACUAGAGUCAUAGAACAAAUCACCCCCAAACUCAAUAGAAGGAAACAAUCUUUUCUUAUGUCUGCGGCUCCUGCACAUCAGGAUUUUGAACGAGGUAGAACAGGGACAGUUUGUCUCUGCUCCACAGUGUCAGGCCUCUGCUGGAAAGCUUCAGGGCUAGGGCUGGGAUCCUCUGAAGACUCUGGCUCCCCUGCCUGGCGAUCUGUGCCGACUGUUGGCUGGUGGGGGGCCUCAGUUCCAUUCCAUGCACCUCUCCGUGUGGUCUCGUUACUCAGAAUAGUUGGGGUUGUUCACAGCACCGUGGUAACUAAUACACAGGGUGAGCUUAACAAGAAUCAGCCAGGCAGCAGACCUUUGGUCUUCUCUGAAAUUUCGGCAGUCACAUCAUAUCAUUUCAGCUGCACUGUAUUCAUCAGGGCAGACACAGAGACCUGCCUAGGUUAAGGGGAGGGAAAAUAGACUCCAUUUCUUUUCUUUUCUUUUUCUUUUUUUGAGACAGAGUCUUGCUCUGUUGCCCAGGCUAGAGUGCAGUGGCACC